rnacentral:rRNA from 1 species
AGAGUUUGAUCCUGGCUCAGAUUGAACGCUGGCGGCAUGCUUUACACAUGCAAGUCGAACGGUAACAGGGGAGCUUGCUCCCGCUGACGAGUGGCGAACGGGUGAGUAAUGCAUCGGAACGUGCCGAAUAGUGGGGGAUAACGCACCGAAAGGUGUGCUAAUACCGCAUACGCCCUGAGGGGGAAAGUGGGGGACCGCAAGGCCUCACGCUAAUCGAGCGGCCGAUGUCGGAUUAGCUAGUUGGUGGGGUAAAGGCUCACCAAGGCGACGAUCCGUAGCGGGUCUGAGAGGAUGAUCCGCCACACUGGGACUGAGACACGGCCCAGACUCCUACGGGAGGCAGCAGUGGGGAAUAUUGGACAAUGGGCGCAAGCCUGAUCCAGCCAUGCCGCGUGAGUGAUGAAGGCCUUAGGGUUGUAAAGCUCUUUCGACGGGGACGAUGAUGACGGUACCCGUAGAAGAAGCCCCGGCUAACUUCGUGCCAGCAGCCGCGGUAAU